AUGGUUAAGUUAGAAAGGGCGCACGGUGAAUGCCUUGGCACUAGGAGCCGAUGAAGGACGGGACUAACACCGAUAUGCUUCGGGGAGCUGUAAGUGAGCUUUGAUCCGGAGAUUUCCGAAUGGGGAAACCCACUGUUCGUAAUGGAACAGUAUCUUUAUCUGAAUACAUAGGAUAUUGAAGGCAGACCCGGGGAACUGAAACAUCUAAGUACCCGGAGGAAGAGAAAGCAAAUGCGAUUUCCUGAGUAGCGGCGAGCGAAACGGAAUUAGCCCAAACCAAGAGGCUUGCCUCUUGGGGUUGUAGGACACUCUAUACGGAGUUACAAAGGAACGAAGUAAAUGAAGCGACCUGGAAAGGUCCGUCGAAGAAGGUAACAACCCUGUAGUUGAAACUUCGUUCCCUCUUGAGUGGAUCCUGAGUACGGCGGAACACGUGAAAUUCCGUCGGAAGCUGGGAGGACCAUCUCCCAAGGCUAAAUACUACCUAGUGACCGAUAGUGAACCAGUACCGUGAGGGAAAGGUGAAAAGCACCCCGGAAGGGGAGUGAAAGAGAUCCUGAAACCGUGUGCCUACAAGUAGUCAGAGCCCGUUAACGGGUGAUGGCGUGCCUUUUGUAGAAUGAACCGGCGAGUUACGAUCCCAUGCAAGGUUAAGCUGAUAAGGCGGAGCCGUAGCGAAAGCGAGUCUGAAUAGGGCGUUUAGUAUGUGGUUGUAGACCCGAAACCAGGUGAUCUACCCAUGUCCAGGGUGAAGUUCAGGUAACACUGAAUGGAGGCCCGAACCCACGCACGUUGAAAAGUGCGGGGAUGAGGUGUGGGUAGCGGAGAAAUUCCAAUCGAACCUGGAGAUAGCUGGUUCUCUCCGAAAUAGCUUUAGGGCUAGCCUCAUGUUGUGAGAGUCUUGGAGGUAGAGCACUGAUUGGACUAGGGGCCCCCAACGGGUUACCGAAUUCAGUCAAACUCCGAAUGCCAAAGACUUAUCCAUGGGAGUCAGACUGCGAGUGAUAAGAUCCGUAGUCAAAAGGGAAACAGCCCAGACCACCAGCUAAGGUCCCCAAGUAUACGUUAAGUGGAAAAGGAUGUGGAGUUGCUUAGACAACCAGGAUGUUGGCUUAGAAGCGUACCACCAUUUAAAGAGUGCGUAAUAGCUCACUGGUCGAGUGACUCUGCGCCGAAAAUGUACCGGGGCUAAACGUAUCACCGAAGCUGUGGAUUGACAUCUUUGAUGUCAGUGGUAGGAGAGCGUUCUAAGUGCUGUGAAGUCAGACCGUAAGGACUGGUGGAGCGCUUAGAAGUGAGAAUGCCGGUAUGAGUAGCGAAAGACAAGUGAGAAUCUUGUCCACCGAAUGCCUAAGGUUUCCUGAGGAAGGCUCGUCCGCUCAGGGUUAGUCGGGACCUAAGCCGAGGCUGAAAAGCGUAGGCGAUGGCCAACAGGUUGAUAUUCCUGUACCACCUCCCCGCCGUUUGAGUAAUGGGGGGACGCAGUAGGAUAGGGUAAGCGCGGCCGCUGGAUAUGCGCGUUCAAGCAGUUAGGCUGAUGAGUAGGCAAAUCCGCUCAUCAUAAAGGCUGAGCUGUGAUGACGAGGGAAUUAUAGUACCGAAGUUCCUGAUUCCACACUGCCAAGAAAAGCCUCUAGCGAGGCGGGAGGUGCCCGUACCGCAAACCGACACAGGUAGGCGAGGAGAGAAUCCUAAGGUGAUCGAGAGAACUCUCGUUAAGGAACUCGGCAAAAUGACCCCGUAACUUCGGGAGAAGGGGUGCUCUGGUAGGGUGUAUAGCCCGAGAGAGCCGCAGUGAAUAGGCCCAGGCGACUGUUUAGCAAAAACACAGGUCUCUGCGAAGCCGCAAGGCGAAGUAUAGGGGCUGACGCCUGCCCGGUGCUGGAAGGUUAAGAGGAGGGGUUAUCCUUUGGGAGAAGCUCUGAAUCGAAGCCCCAGUAAACGGCGGCCGUAACUAUAACGGUCCUAAGGUAGCGAAAUUCCUUGUCGGGUAAGUUCCGACCCGCACGAAAGGCGUAACGAUCUGGGCACUGUCUCAACGAGAGACUCGGUGAAAUUAUAGUACCUGUGAAGAUGCAGGUUACCCGCGACAGGACGGAAAGACCCCGUGGAGCUUUACUGUAGCCUGAUAUUGAAUUUUGGUACAGCUUGUACAGGAUAGGUAGGAGCCUGAGAAGCCGGAGCGCUAGCUUCGGUGGAGGCGUCGGUGGGAUACUACCCUGGCUGUAUUGAAAUUCUAACCCGCGGCCCUGAUCGGGCCGGGAGACAGUGUCAGGUGGGCAGUUUGACUGGGGCGGUCGCCUCCUAAAAUGUAACGGAGGCGCCCAAAGGUUCCCUCAGAAUGGUUGGAAAUCAUUCGUAGAGUGUAAAGGCACAAGGGAGCUUGACUGCGAGACCUACAAGUCGAGCAGGGACGAAAGUCGGGCUUAGUGAUCCGGUGGUUCCGCAUGGAAGGGCCAUCGCUCAACGGAUAAAAGCUACCCCGGGGAUAACAGGCUUAUCUCCCCCAAGAGUCCACAUCGACGGGGAGGUUUGGCACCUCGAUGUCGGCUCAUCGCAUCCUGGGGCUGUAGUCGGUCCCAAGGGUUGGGCUGUUCGCCCAUUAAAGCGGUACGCGAGCUGGGUUCAGAACGUCGUGAGACAGUUCGGUCCCUAUCCGUCGUGGGCGUAGGAAAUUUGAGAGGAGCUGUCCUUAGUACGAGAGGACCGGGAUGGACACACCGCUGGUGUACCAGUUGUCUUGCCAAAGGCAUCGCUGGGUAGCUAUGUGUGGACGGGAUAAGUGCUGAAAGCAUCUAAGCAUGAAGCCCCCCUCAAGAUGAGAUUUCCCAUAGCGCAAGCUAGUAAGAUCCCUGAAAGAUGAUCAGGUUGAUAGGUCAGAGGUGGAAGCGUGGCGACAUGUGUAGCUGACUGAUACUAAUCGAUCGAGGACUUAACCAAAC
rnacentral:rRNA from 1 species